rnacentral:lncRNA from 1 species
CAGUCCCUACAUACAGCCCAGUCCCUACAUACAGCCCAGUCCCCUACAUGCAGCCCAGUCCCCUCCAUGCAGCCCAUCCCCUCCAUACAGCCCAGUCCCUACAUGCAGCCCAGUCCCCUCCAUGCAGCCCAGUCCCCUACAUACAGUCCAGUCCCCUCCAUACAGCCCAGUCCCCUCCAUGCAGCCCAGUCCCCUACAUGCAGCCCAGUCCCCUCCAUACAGUCCAUCCCCUCCAUGCAGCCCAGUCCCUACAUACAGCCCAGUCCCUACAUACAGUCCAGUCCCCUCCAUGCAGCCCAGUCCCUACAU